rnacentral:rRNA from 1 species
AACGAACGCUGGCGGCAGGCUUAACACAUGCAAGUCGAACGCAUCCUUCGGGGUGAGUGGCAGACGGGUGGGUAACGCGUGGGAACGUGCCCUUCAGUUCGGGAUAACCCAGGGAAACUUGGGCUAAUACCUGAUACGUCCGCGAGCAGAAAGAUUUAUCGCUGAAGGAUCGGCCCGCGUCUGAUUAGCUAGUUGGUGGGGUAAUGGCCCACCAAGGCGACGAUCAGUAGCUGGUCUGGGAGGAUGAUCAGCCACAUUGGGACUGAGACACGGCCCAAACUCCUACGGGAGGCAGCAGUGGGGAAUAUUGGACAAUGGGCGCAAGCCUGAUCCAGCCAUGCCGCGUGAGUGAUGAAGGCCUUAGGGUUGUAAAGCUCUUUCGUCCGGGACGAUAAUGACGGUACCGGAAGAAGAAGCCCCGGCUAACUUCGUGCCAGCCGCCGCUGUAA